GCAAAAGGAGCAGCUGAGACACUUAAAUUCAACAUGGCUCUAAUACUUUUCCCGGUUUGCAGAAACACCAUUACUUGGCUCAGAUCCACGAGACUCUCUUGCUUCGUUCCUUUUGAUGAUAACAUCAACUUCCACAAGAAGUCAAAAAACCAAUACUAAAUGAAUGGGAU